AAUUCAUAUAAAUUAGGUAAUGCAAUUUUUAAUACCAUUUCUUAAUGUUUAAUUAAGUACAAGAUAUCCUACAACUAACUAUAAAAUUGGUGUAUUCUACAAUGAUUUAUUUUUAUGCAUAAAGUGCCCAAUACAACCAGGUAGUGUUGAAUGUGGAUACUAUGUGAUGAGAUAUAUGAGAGAUAUUAUUGCUGAUCAAGGAUGUCUUACAUCAAAGUUUCACGGAAAAAAAUCGUAUAGCAAAGAUGAGUUGAACGAAGUACGAUCAGAAUGGGUAAUGCUGGUCACUCAGUUGAUACUCUCUUCUGUUUGAAGGCUUUGAAGACACUUUUUUGUAUGGAAAUAGAUCAUACUUUUGCCCAAUCCAACUAUCACUUUUGUUGAGGCAUCCAAAGGGAAACUUUUUGAAGCUGAAAGUUGGAAGUUUUUCCAAGUUUCUAAUAGUUCAUGAGCUACUGCCACAAAAAAGAAUGUUCUUGUUGGUUCAAAAGGGAACAUGAAGAUUUCUAAUUUUGGCCAUGGUGUUAUACCACAACAUUGUAAG